rnacentral:rRNA from 1 species
CCUACGGGAGGCAGCAGUAGGGAAUCUUCCGCAAUGGACGAAAGUCUGACGGAGCAACGCCGCGUGAGUGAAGAAGGUUUUCGGAUCGUAAAACUCUGUUGUAAGGGAAGAACAAGUACGUUAGUAACUGAACGUACCUUGACGGUACCUUACCAGAAAGCCACGGCUAACUACGUGCCAGCAGCCGCGGUAAUACGUAGGUGGCAAGCGUUAUCCGGAAUUAUUGGGCGUAAAGCGCGCGUAGGCGGUUGUGUAAGUAUGGUGUGAAGGGACCAGUGGUAACGGGUGAGGGGAAGGCGAAACCGGGUGGCGUGAGAGCAGACGAGGUGAGUUGGAUUACAUGUGUGGCGGUGAAGUGCGCUGGGAGAUGGAGGAACACCAGUGGCGAAGGCGGCUCUCUGGUCUGUAACGGACACUGAGGUGCGAAGGCGUGGGGAUCAAACAGGAUUAGAUCCCCUAGUAGUC